AUUGAACGCUGGCGGCAUGCCUUACACAUGUAAGUCGAACGGCAGCACGGGAGCAAUCCUGGUGGCGAGUGGCGAACGGGUGAGUAAUAUAUCGGAACGUGCCCAGUCGUGGGGAUAACGUAGCGAAAGCUAACGCUAAUACCGCAUACGAUCUAUGGAUGAAAGCGGGGGAUCGCAAGACCUCGCGCGAUUGGAGCGGCCGAUAUCAGAUUAGGAGUUGGUGAGGUAAAGGCUCACCAAGCCGACGAUCUGUAGCUGGUCUGAGAGGACGACCAGCCACACUGGGACUGAGACACGGCCCAGACUCCUAC
rnacentral:rRNA from 1 species